CCGGCGUACGGGUGAGUAACACGUAUCCAACCUGCCGUCUACUCUUGGACAGCCUUCUGAAAGGAAGAUUAAUACAAGAUGGCAUCAUGAGUCCGCAUGUUCACAUGAUUAAAGGUAUUCCGGUAGACGAUGGGGAUGCGUUCCAUUAGAUAGUAGGCGGGGUAACGGCCCACCUAGUCUUCGAUGGAUAGGGGUUCUGAGAGGAAGGUCCCCCACAUUGGAACUGAGACACGGUCCAA
rnacentral:rRNA from 1 species